CAGUCAACCAGUUCCACCAGUCAGUCAACCAGUCAGUCAACCAGUUCCACCAGUCAGUCAACCAGUCAGUCAACCAGUUCCACCAGUCAUUCAACCAGUCAGUCAACCAGUUCCACCAGUCAGUCAACCAGUUCAACCAGUCAGUCAACCAGUAAACCAGUCAGUCAACCAGUUUCACCAGUCAGUCAACCAGUCAGUCAACCAUCACUCUGACUGCAGUGUGAACCCGUUUUUGAUAUCGAAGCCGUUCAGUGUUUUUAUAUGAAGGACAAAUGGCGGACAACAACUGGAGGCUGCA